CAGGAGGAUAGCCCGGGGAAACUCGGAUUAAUACUCCAUAAGAUUUUGAUUGGCAUCAAUUAGGAUUGAAAGAUUUAUUGGAUAAGGAUAGGCAUGCGUCAGAUUAGUUAGUUGGUAGUGUAACGGACUACCAAGGCGAUGAUCUGUAGGGGGCCUGAGAGGGUGAACCCCCACACUGGUACUGAGACACGGACCAGACUCCUACGGGAGGCAGCAGUGAGGAAUAUUGGACAAUGGAGGGAACUCUGAUCCAGCCAUCCCGCGUGCAGGAAGACGGCCCUAUGGGUUGUAAACUGCUUUUGUAUGGGGAUAAAUCUACUUACGUGUAGGUAGUUGAAGGUACCAUACGAAUAAGCAUCGGCUAACUCCGUGCCAGCAGCCGCGGUAAUACGGAGGAUGCAAGCGUUAUCCGGAUUCAUUGGGUUUAAAGGGUCCGUAGGCGGGCUAAUAAGUCAGUGGUGAAAUUUUGUCGCUUAACGAUAAAACUGCCAUUGAUACUGUUAGUCUUGAGUGAUAUUGAAGUAGCUGGAAUGUGUAGUGUAGCGGUGAAAUGCAUAGAUAUUACACAGAACACCGAUUGCGAAGGCAGGUUACUAAGUAUUAACUGACGCUGAAGGACGAAAGCGUGGGGAGCGAACAGGAUUAGAUACCCUGGUAGU
rnacentral:rRNA from 1 species